CGGCUCAGGACGAACGCUGGCGGCGCGCCUAACACAUGCAAGUCGAGCGAUGAACUUUCAUUGAUYCCUUCGGGGUGAUUUGAUUGGGAUUAGCGGCGAACGGGUGAGUAACGCGUGAGGAACCUGCCUCUUACAACGGGAUAGCCUCGGGAAACCGGGAUUAAUACCGUAUAAGACUCCGACAUCUCCUGRUGAUGAAGUCAAAGUGYUAGCGGUAAGAGAUGGCCUCGCGUCUGAUUAGUUAGUUGGYGGGGUAACGGCCYACCAAGACGACGAUCAGUAACCGGCCUGAGAGGGUGAACGGUCACAUUGGAACUGAGACACGGUCCAAACUCCUACGGGAGGCAGCAGUGGGGAAUCUUGCACAAUGGGGGMAACCCUGAUGCAGCGACGCCGCGUGAGCGAUGAAGGUUUUCGAAUCGUAAAGCUCUGUCCUAUGGGAAGAUAAUGACGGUAC
rnacentral:rRNA from 1 species